UUUGCAUGUAGUUGCUGUUUGUACUUUCCAUAAAGGAUUCCAAUUUUCUGAAGAACAUCCUGUUUCCAAGAAUUUGAAAACAGCUCCUGCAUGAAAUACAGAAGAAAUGGUGGAGAGCAGACAGAGCAGGAGAAGAAUCAGAUAACAAGAUUAGAAGAACUUGCUUUUUCUCCUUAGUGGCUGCAGAAAUUACCAGAAAAAAUAACAAAAUUCCAGAAAGUCUGGAAGACCUGUGUUUAGAAUUAAUAUCCUUCCUUGGGAAUAAAUCAUGCUUCUCAUUUUAGGAAGUAUACUUCUCUCCCAACAUCAAAUUAUUCCAGGUGACAUGAGACAGGUAUACAGAACUCAUUCCUUCAUGAAGAAUGACUUCUAG
ensembl:lncRNA